rnacentral:rRNA from 1 species
UGCAAGUCGAGCGGAGUGAUGGUGCUUGCACUAUCACUUAGCGGCGGACGGGUGAGUAAUGCUUAGGAAUCUGCCUAUUAGUGGGGGACAACAUUUCGAAAGGAAUGCUAAUACCGCAUACGUCCUACGGGAGAAAGCAGGGGAUCUUCGGACCUUGCGCUAAUAGAUGAGCCUAAGUCGGAUUAGCUAGUUGGUGGGGUAAAGGCCUACCAAGGCGACGAUCUGUAGCGGGUCUGAGAGGAUGAUCCGCCACACUGGGACUGAGACACGGCCCAGACUCCUACGGGAGCAGCAGUGGGGAAUAUUGGACAAUGGGCGCAAGCCUGAUCCAGCCAUGCCGCGUGUGUGAAGAAGGCCUUAUGGUUGUAAAGCACUUUAAGCGAGGAGGAGGCUACUGAAGUUAAUACCUUCAGAUAGUGGACGUUACUCGCAGAAUAAGCACCGGCUAACUCUGUGCCAGCAGCCGCGGUAAUACAGAGGGUGCAAGCGUUAAUCGGAUUUACUGGGCGUAAAGCGCGCGUAGGCGGCUAAUUAAGUCAAAUGUGAAAUCCCCGAGCUUAACUUGGGAAUUGCAUUCGAUACUGGUUAGCUAGAGUGUGGGAGAGGAUGGUAGAAUUCCAGGUGUAGCGGUGAAAUGCGUAGAGAUCUGGAGGAAUACCGAUGGCGAAGGCAGCCAUCUGGCCUAACACUGACGCUGAGGUGCGAAAGCAUGGGGAGCAAACAGGAUUAGAUACCCUGGUAGUCCAUGCCGUAAACGAUGUCUACUAGCCGUUGGGGCCUUUGAGGCUUUAGUGGCGCAGCUAACGCGAUAAGUAGACCGCCUGGGGAGUACGGUCGCAAGACUAAAACUCAAAUGAAUUGACGGGGGCCCGCACAAGCGGUGGAGCAUGUGGUUUAAUUCGAUGCAACGCGAAGAACCUUACCUGGCCUUGACAUAGUAAGAACUUUCCAGAGAUGGAUUGGUGCCUUCGGGAACUUACAUACAGGUGCUGCAUGGCUGUCGUCAGCUCGUGUCGUGAGAUGUUGGGUUAAGUCCCGCAACGAGCGCAACCCUUUUUCUUAUUUGCCAGCGAGUAAUGGCGGGAACUUUAAGGAUACUGCCAGUGACAAACUGGGAGGAAGGGGGGGGACAACGUCAA